rnacentral:lncRNA from 1 species
UUUCCAAAAUAUAAAUUCAGAACUAUGCCUCCUAUCUGACUGUGUUCUUUUAUCAUCCACUAGUCCACAGACAAAUGAAUUUAAAGGAGCAACCGAGGAGACACUUACGAAUGAUAUGUGAGUAGUAAAUGGUUAAAUAAAGACACCCAUCAGCAUAAGUGUGCAUAGAACUAUACACACACACAGGCACAUGAGCAAAUAUAUCCAUCCAUCCAUCCAUCCAUCCUUCCAUCCAUCCAUCCACACUUCUCUUCAACACAUGUACACAAAUUAAUCCAUGCACAUGGUGGAAACUUAGAACAAGGAGAAAAGAGACAGAUGGACAUUUGUGGAACUUAGGAGCCUGUCUGGGCAUAUAGAUUUUUUUUUUUUUAAUGGAGUUUCCAAUUCUUCUCAUUGUAGCAUUUGCUAGUAACUUUGCAUCCUUCUUUGGUGGAGUUGUAUAAAGAGGAGCAGGUCAUAGGAGAGUUGCUUCCUCCUGUUAGUGUAUUUGUCACCCUUAGUUCCUAGUAUGCAGUUUUUUUAUGGGACUCAGAUUUCCUGACAGAAAUUAAUUGGUUUCUGUCUAGAGUAAUAAAAGCUAAUUUUUCCAAAAAAGUGAAUUUAGAAUCGUGUCUCCUAGCUGACUAUAUUCUUUUAUCAUCCUCUAGCCCACACAGCAGUGAAUGUAAAGGAGCAGCCCUGGUGUCACCUAUCAGUAAAAGCACUGCCUUCAGUGAAAUGACAACAAGUAACACAUGAAGGGACUUUCAACAAAAUUUGAGGUUUAAGUAAAUAAAAAGCUGGAUGUAAACAUAUAUAUGUAAAUACACACAUAGACACACACAAAAGCAUACAUGUAGAAAAGGGAGAUUCAGAUUUGGGAAGUUCAUUUUCUGGAGCAUCCAUAACAAUACAGAGUGUUUUAGACACUGUUUUCUAAAGUCUUAUUACUGUAGUAUCUGCAGUUCCCUUUCUUUCUUCGAUCUAGUUGGAUAAAAGAGGAAUAGGUCUUAAGAGGAAUGCUUCUUAUUCCUAUUCCAUUGGUCACCCUUUUAUUUAGCAGCACCCUGAAACCUUAGGAAAAUAUGAGAAUGUGUAUA